UACGGAGGGGGCUAGCGUUGUUCGGAAUUACUGGGCGUAAAGCGCACGUAGGCGGCUUUGUAAGUUAGAGGUGAAAGCCUGGAGCUCAACUCCAGAACUGCCUUUAAGACUGCAUCGCUUGAAUCCAGGAGAGGUGAGUGGAAUUCCGAGUGUAGAGGUGAAAUUCGUAGAUAUUCGGAAGAACACCAGUGGCGAAGGGCGGCUCACUGGA
rnacentral:rRNA from 1 species